UCCCAUGUGGCUCAGUUGGUAGAGCAUGGCACUUGCAACGCCAGGGUUGUGGGUAUGAUUUCCACGGGGGAC
rnacentral:tRNA from 1 species